rnacentral:rRNA from 1 species
GACGAACCGUCCAAACGUUAGUCGGAAUUACUGGGCUUAAAGGGUGCGUAGGCGGCUCUGUAAGUUGGGUGUGAAAGACCUCGGCUCAACCGAGGAAUUGCGCCCAAAACUACAGGGCUUGAGGAAGGCAGAGGUGAGCGGAACUUGCGGUGGAGCGGUGAAAUGCGUUGAUAUCGCAAGGAACACCAGUGGCGAAAGCGGCUCACUGGGCCUUUUCUGACGCUGAGGCACGAAAGCUAGGGGAGCGAAGAGG